CUUGCAGUGAAAUAAUUGGAGGCAGUUUAAUUAUUGGAAUAAUUUUUAAACCACCAUUUCUGACAGCCAGGGGCAAUGACAAAUCACAGUUUAGUGUGGCUGUGCAUGGUGUUUGUUUCCAUCCCUGUAUUGGUACAACACCUCCUUCCCCAAAGGUGUGUGCCAGACCACCAGUCAUAGUCCCCUCCAUGGUGAUUCCAUGGCUUGCAAGGCUGGCCCACAGCUACAGGACUUUACAGCUCAGCACAGAGAUCCAGCAGAUAUCCCCAGCCACACUACCACUCUGGAGCUUAUUUUUUUCCCUUCCCAUCCAAGCAGAGCCAGAGCUGGUGCAAGAGGGCAGGACUGUACUGCUGCAAUUACAGCCAGGAAAGGGAGAGGUGAAAAAUAGAGCAAGCCAAACCUGCCCCUGUCAACAGCUAAGAGACGUUAGAUUGGAUUCCCCAUUUUGUGUAACUUCACCCUAAACAGUAAGGAGGAGGCUGUGCAGCUAGCUGCACAUCCAUAGCACUUGACACAAGUGCAAACAGCAGCAGCCAGUACUUGUGAGGAGCCUGAAUCUCUUUUUCCUUGCCAAGUGCAUGCUUGUACGCUCUGGCAUGGCCAUUCCAAGCACCUGUAGGGGCCAGCAAUAACUAAGCUGGAGUAUGGUCGCAAACCUAAUUAAUGGAUUACAUCGUCCUGCUUCCAGCAAAACCUCUCUGUGUCUUUAUGGUCAUGUACCAGAAGGGUAAACAAGGACACAUGACAUAUGUACAGCCCUGUUUAUCCUGCCCCUGACCUGCAUUGUGGUCCUGAUUCUAGACUCCUCUCUGCUAAAAGCUAAUGAAAUUCCAUCAUGUGUUUGUUCUGAUUCCCCCCCCACACACACUCCUGCUCCCGUUUCUGAGAUGUCCUGAAAAUAAUUCUGUUAGCAGGAAAAUAAACAGGACAUUACUCUUGAUGGCUUUCAAUUGUAUUUUCUCUUUCCCUGAUGUCAGCCCCUGGCAGAGGCGGGGGGGAAGAGGAACUCAGGGCCAUCAGAGAAGUUUUUCUGGCACAGACAAGCAACCUGUGUGCUGCCAAACUCUUUGCUAUUGUACAGCGUGCACCCUGCUGCUUGCCUGGGACCUGAAUAAUAGAGCCUUACUGUGAAACUGUUAAAGAAAAAAAAAACGAAGUUGAGCACAGCGAAGGCAGGUCAAGCAGCAGUGUGAGCUGGGACCAACAAACAGGCAUUUUUGCCUUCUGUGUCAGCUAGUAGCAAUGAACAAGGAUGGGUAUUUUUUAACGGUUGUUGUUUUUUGGGUUAGCAUUGAGAAAUAUUAAUGGAGACUGAGCAGAAGACAAAGCCCAAACCAGACUUGGAUCCUUUCAGACUCCAUUCACAGGGCAGCUUUUACACCUGGAGACACAGGUGGAGUUCCCUGGUGGCCCACGUUCCUGGUGACCACACAUACACCUGGGCUCAAUUAAGCAUGGUCCAUCAUCCACACCUGGUCUGGGGCAUCCUGGCUCCCACCAGCACUAGAAAGACUUCCUCUGCACCACAGGUGCAUUCACACCAUAUCUUCAGGGGUUUCCCCACAAGCUUGCAAGAGCUCAGGACACACCAUCUAGCCACUAGAAGGGUGAAGCAGCUUGUGGGGCUGUUCAGCUGAACCCCUAAUUGCAGUGAAGAUCACCACCUUCCUUCUCAGCCUUUUCUGCAGGUGGCAACCAGCGUGCUUUCCCUGCCACCCAAGUGGCAGGCUGCAAUAACAAGUGACAUCAAGAAUGGCAGUGAGGGAGAGAUGCUGUUCAAGGAGACACACCAGACGGCACGGAGCUGGUUGGGUGCAGAAGGGCAAGCAAGCUGCUCCAGAUGGAAGAAGCAGAAGACAUCUAAAAUCACCCUUUGUCUUUCUAACUCACAGAUGAGUAUAAGCCUGUUUUGCAUUCUGCCAAGCAUACUGCACUGCUUUCACUGUGUUUGCUCCAAAGAUGUGCGAGUCCUUUCCCCCCAAGACCUUAACCUAGACCAUAAGCCUGGCCAUGGUGUGCUGGGCCAAAGGCUCAGAUGCCCCUGCAUCCCAUCUGUAAUGAAAGUUCUGGAGCACAUGCUUAAGGAGCAAGUUUAUUCCUCCUCUUUCAACUUCUGGCAGUCAACACACUGAGGAGGAUUCUAUAUUUCAGUCUGUCCUGUCCUACGUGUAUUCUCUUGGGUUUUUUUGACUCAUCCAUGCAUCAGCAUUGCUGGCAUCGAAACAGGUCUGAAUUCUUCCCAUCAAUAGAGGGCAGUGCUGGCCUCAUUGUCCCAGCACAGGACACGUGUUGCUUCUGAGAUAAAGUGUAAUAUUUGUUAUUAAAGGUUGAGGUCUUGGUUGAGGUCUUUUUGGCACAGCUCUGUGUUUUGGUCUCCUAGUAAACCAACUUAAGAACUGCUGGGGUUACAAAAGGCAGGAGUUAAUCAGUAACUCAGAUGUUUAUCAACUGCACGUUUAACUAUUUAUUCCUCUCUUGUAAUACCCACCUGUUUUUUAUCUCCAUUUAAUGAGUAACUAUUGGGAAGGGGAUUAAAUACACCUGUUCUCCCUACAUAUUGGGACUUUCCGGGGGUGGCCAUUUUGAUUGUAAGGAGCUGUACCCAAAUUCAUUGACACAGAAAUGAAAACCCAAGUGUUUCAAGAGAUAAAAUAAAUAAACCACCCCCUUAAAGAUAAACCAGGUCCUCCUACAGCCUCAUCUGGCACACUUCCAGCUUCACUGUCAUUCUGCAGGCUUAUUUCUCCAUGUACACCCCAGCAUGAUUUUACCCCUGGUAUGUUCUCUUAGCAUCUCCUGUUGUCUAUUCCUUCCCACCUGUUUUCAUAGAACCACGGGAAAAAAAAAAAAAAAAAAAAAAAAAAAAAAAAAUGACACAGGAGGGAUCCUGGGAGUUCAUUCUGUCCACAAAUAAUUCUUCCCUCUGCUCUAUCCCAGUGCUUCCAUUUACUGUGGGAGUAAGGAAGUAAAUGUCUUUUGUUGUGCAGUACGCUUUGGAUUAGGUGCUUCUGUAAGGGAAGGCUCAGGACUGCUGUUCCCAGUCUUGCCAUUGCUACCUGUGGGAAUGUGGGCAAGGCGACCACGGCUUGUUCAUGUGUAGCCCGGAGCUAUGUGUCUGCCUCUGAGCACUGCAAUGGUCAAUCAGCUGAGCAUGAACUAUUUUGACAUCUAUAAAAGGGUGUUAUUAAGGCCAUAUAAAGUCUUACUAUCUUCUUAUGCAAUUCUUCCUGUGCAAGGGACAUGCUGAUCUCUCUGUGCCCCUUUCCACCCUGUCACUUUGAAUCCUUCUUCUGUUCCAUGUCUCCCCCAGCCCUCGCUGCGUUUGGUUGCUUUCCUCUGUGUGUGUUCAAAAUACAGCUCAUAAAAUGCCUGUUUUAAAGUUCAUGGUGCCAAAGCUUUGUACGUUUUCAUAAUGCACUCUUCUCACUACUGAUAAUGGCAUGCUCUCUGAGGUUUAACUCCUGUUUGCUCAGCAGAAGCCUGGUAGCUGCUUUCUUUAAGUCACUUCCAGCUUCUCAGUUAGGGCUCUCUGCCCCCAAAGCCUCCACUCACCCACACCAUCUCCAACAGAGAGGUUGGCUGUGAAGAUGGGCAUCCUUAAAGCAAAAGCCAUGGGCAUGAAAGUAAAGAGGGCAGGAAUAUUUCUGCAGCCUUUGUUCCUGGUGGUGUUGGCUGAGCCUGAAAGCACACAGCUGGAUGCCAGCAGCCCAGGCAGAGGUUAAAGGAGUGGUACCACGAGAGGAAGGAUGGACUGAUGGACAUAUUCUUCCUGUAAACUGAAAAUGCCUGACCACAGACAGCCAGAAACAACAAACCUGGAACUCCACGGGACAAAUUUUGUGGUUGCUUUUGAGAGAAGAGACUCUUUUGACCUAGCAAUGUUGUUAUUAACUUUUUGCUUCCUAGCACUGAUUCUGAAAUUCUCCUCUAUCCCUGCAGCCUACGUUAAACACUAAUUAAAACCACCUAGCACAAAAACAGCCCUAGGUUCAGAGUGCUAUUUAUUAAGCUCCUUAAUGAGACAAGAGGAAGAAAUAUUUUUACGUUGUCAAUUUUUAUUAACACUGUCAGUUAUAUGCAGACAGCCUUGCCAGCUGCCUAGGUGAGGAGGGCAAAGGUAAACGGUAAACAAGAGGGAGAGAUCUGGAAAAAAAUAAAAAUAAAAGGGGAGGGGAGGGGGAGUCAGUGAUUUUCCAUUUGGCAUUUGCUGAAGGUAAUAGUAACUUGGUCACAGAGAAAUAAAGAACAAGCAGGGCUCAGUGCUCUGCAGCAUGAACAGAAAUGCUCCACAGAAUCUGCCCAGAAAACCUGUGACUGCAGUGAGAGGCGAUGGUAAUUGCAUGGCUUGGUCUUUCUGAUUUUGUCUCAUGCUGAGCAGCCAAAUGCCAUGCAAAGCUAUUUGUCAGGUGUAAGAGCUUUGCUCUUAGAAAAUGCAAAACUUCAUAUAAAAAGCCAAAGUCAUCCCUAGCUGCAAAGUUUCUUCUGUACUUUCUGGGGAUCACAGUAACCAGUCUUCUUCCGCAGCAAAGUUCUCAAC